UAAUCAGGGUAAUCGGGGCAACCGAGGCAACAGGAGACGAGAGGGGCAGCGAAAAAAGUAGAGACAGAAAAUGUUGAAAUGAGUUUUUAUUCAAAUAUUGAUCUAAAACCUAAGUAAACAAAAAUACGACACAAAACUGUUAAAAUGACAAAGAGUUGUCUAUUUUUUAGAAGGAUAAGAACAUUCUUUAUUGAAAACAAUUUACAUGCAAAAAUAUACCGUUUUAAAUGGUCAAAAUAUCAGUAUACAAGUCAAUAUAUUUUUGUACAAACUAACGAAUUUACAUUUAACUUAGCGAAUAGAUGUCGUUGAUUUGGGCACAUGCCCGAGCAAACUAGUUUUUUGAACUUGAUUGCACCAUAUUUAAAGAAAAUUCUAAGAUACUAUAUUCUGUAUAGUUUACUUCAAAGAGCUUAUGUUACGGCUACCAUUAGGACAGCAACACCAGUUUCUGUUCGAAAUAUGAAGUUCCUAGUUUUAAUGAAGUUACUUCCUCGUUAUGCAUUGUAUUAAACAAUUAUGUUCAAUGUUUCUAUAUAUAGUCUAUUGAAUAUGCAUGAUUUAUAGAUCAUAUAUUCUAUUGAAUAUAUGAACUAUGAAUUAUGCAUCAAUAAAAUUCUGUAGACUUCUAAUAAAACAUGCACCAUACUAAUUGUAUGAAUGUAUUUACUGUCAUUGUCAAUGAGUACCUUGGUCAAUAAUUUCAUCGUUUAGUUAAUUUUCACUUUUUAUGAAAAUAAAAUAGUUCGGCAAGAAGUAGGUUUAUUAAAUGUUGAUAUGUACAUUCUGUUAAACAGAUUUCAACUUUUAUUUAUAUCUUUGUUGCCAAAACAAGUGUUUAAUUUCUGUUCCAUUUAAAGCUAUUUAUGUUGGAUUAAAAUAUAAAGUAUU
rnacentral:misc_RNA from 1 species